GCUCAGAUUGAACGCUGGCGGCAGGCCUAACACAUGCAAGUCGAACGGUAACAGGAAGCAGCUUGCUGCUUUGCUGACGAGUGGCGGACGGGUGAGUAAUGUCUGGGAAACUGCCUGAUGGAGGGGGAUAACUACUGGAAACGGUAGCUAAUACCGCAUAACGUCGCAAGACCAAAGAGGGGGACCUUCGGGCCUCUUGCCAUCGGAUGUGCCCAGAUGGGAUUAGCUAGUAGGUGGGGUAAAGGCUCACCUAGGCGACGAUCCCUAGCUGGUCUGAGAGGAUGACCAGCCACGCUGGAACUGAGACACGGUCCAGACUCCUACGGGAGGCAGCAGUA
rnacentral:rRNA from 1 species